ACUAUGGACACAGAUUGAGAUGGUGGUGUUUCACCAGAUGAGUUGGCAGAAGGACUUGAUAUCUCUCUGCUGAUUGCUAACCGAUAUGUGGUAGCUUUCGACGCGAAUCGAGACGGAGAGCUUGAUUCUAAGGAGUUUUCAAACUUACCUCUACAUGAACAGUAAUGCCAUAGUUAAACCUCAAUAAAUGGGUGCAGUUCACAAGAAAGUGCCAGGAAGCGCCCACAAAAGGAUUUACAUAUCUUUAAUUGCAUGGUGUAAAACAUCAAACUAUAUUUGGUUGUAAUAAAUGCAGCUAUUUGGGA